rnacentral:rRNA from 1 species
AGAGUUUGAUCAUGGCUCAGGAUGAACGCUAGCUACAGGCUUAACACAUGCAAGUCGAGGGGAAACGACAUCGAAAGCUUGCUUUUGAUGGGCGUCGACCGGCGCACGGGUGAGUAACGCGUAUCCAACCUGCCCACCACUUGGGGAUAACCUUGCGAAAGUAAGACUAAUACCCAAUGACGUCUCUAGAAGACAUCUGAAAGAGAUUAAAGAUUUAUCGGUGAUGGAUGGGGAUGCGUCUGAUUAGCUUGGUUGGCGGGGUAACGGCCCACCAAGGCGACGAUCAGUAGGGAUUCUGGAGAGGAAGGUCCCCCACGAUUGGAACUGAGACACGGUACCAACUCCGUACGGGAGCA